GGAAUCUUAGACAAUGGGCGCAAGCCUGAUCUAGCCAUGCCGCGUGUGUGAUGAAGGCCUUAGGGUCGUAAAGCACUUUCGCCAGGGAUGAUAAUGACAGUACCUGGUAAAGACACCCCGGCUAACUCCGUGCCAGCAGCCGCGGUAAUACGGAGGGGGGUAGCGUUGGUCGGAAUUACUGGGCGUAAAGCGCGCGUAGGCGGAUCAGAAAGUAGGGGGUGAAAUCCCAGGGCUCAACCCUGGAACUGCCUCCUAAACUCCUGGUCUAGAGUUCGAGAGAGGUGAGUGGAAUUCCGAGUGUAGAGGUGAAAUUCGUAGAUAUUCGGAGGAACACCAGUGGCGAAGGCGGCUCACUGGCUCGAUACUGACGCUGAGGUGCGAAAGUGUGGGGAGCA
rnacentral:rRNA from 1 species